rnacentral:rRNA from 1 species
CGACUAAUGUUGAAAAAUUAGCGGAUGACUUGUGGCUGGGGGUGAAAGGCCAAUCAAACCGGGAGAUAGCUGGUUCUCCCCGAAAGCUAUUUAGGUAGCGCCUCGUGAAUUCAUCUCCGGGGGUAGAGCACUGUUUCGGCAAGGGGGUCAUCCCGACUUACCAACCCGAUGCAAACUGCGAAUACCGGAGAAUGUUAUCACGGGAGACACACGGCGGGUGCUAACGUCCGUCGUGAAGAGGGAAACAACCCAGACCGCCAGCUAAGGUCCCAAAGUCAUGGUUAAGUGGGAAACGAUGUGGGAAGGCCCAGACAGCCAGGAUGUUGGCUUAGAAGCAGCCAUCAUUUAAAGAAAGCGUAAUAGCUCACUGGUCGAGUCGGCCUGCGCGGAAGAUGUAACGGGGCUAAACCAUGCACCGAAGCUGCGGCAGCGACACUGUGUGUUGUUGGGUAGGGGAGCGUUCUGUAAGCCUGUGAAGGUGUGCUGUGAGGCAUGCUGGAGGUAUCAGAAGUGCGAAUGCUGACAUAAGUAACGAUAAAGCGGGUGAAAAGCCCGCUCGCCGGAAGACCAAGGGUUCCUGUCCAACGUUAAUCGGGGCAGGGUGAGUCGACCCCUAAGGCGAGGCCGAAAGGCGUAGUCGAUGGGAAACAGGUUAAUAUUCCUGUACUUGGUGUUACUGCGAAGGGGGGACGGAGAAGGCUAUGUUGGCCGGGCGACGGUUGUCCCGGUUUAAGCGUGUAGGCUGGUUUUCCAGGCAAAUCCGGAAAAUCAAGGCUGAGGCGUGAUGACGAGGCACUACGGUGCUGAAGCAACAAAUGCCCUGCUUCCAGGAAAAGCCUCUAAGCAUCAGGUAACAUCAAAUCGUACCCCAAACCGACACAGGUGGUCAGGUAGAGAAUACCAAGGCGCUUGAGAGAACUCGGGUGAAGGAACUAGGCAAAAUGGUGCCGUAACUUCGGGAGAAGGCACGCUGAUAUGUAGGUGAAGUCCCUCGCGGAUGGAGCUGAAAUCAGUCGAAGAUACCAGCUGGCUGCAACUGUUUAUUAAAAACACAGCACUGUGCAAACACGAAAGUGGACGUAUACGGUGUGACGCCUGCCCGGUGCCGGAAGGUUAAUUGAUGGGGUCAGCGCAAGCGAAGCUCUUGAUCGAAGCCCCGGUAAACGGCGGCCGUAACUAUAACGGUCCUAAGGUAGCGAAAUUCCUUGUCGGGUAAGUUCCGACCUGCACGAAUGGCGUAAUGAUGGCCAGGCUGUCUCCACCCGAGACUCAGUGAAAUUGAACUCGCUGUGAAGAUGCAGUGUACCCGCGGCAAGACGGAAAGACCCCGUGAACCUUUACUAUAGCUUGACACUGAACAUUGAGCCUUGAUGUGUAGGAUAGGUGGGAGGCUUUGAAGUGUGGACGCCAGUCUGCAUGGAGCCGACCUUGAAAUACCACCCUUUAAUGUUUGAUGUUCUAACGUGGACCCGUGAUCCGGGUUGCGGACAGUGUCUGGUGGGUAGUUUGACUGGGGCGGUCUCCUCCUAAAGAGUAACGGAGGAGCACGAAGGUUGGCUAAUCCUGGUCGGACAUCAGGAGGUUAGUGCAAUGGCAUAAGCCAGCUUGACUGCGAGCGUGACGGCGCGAGCAGGUGCGAAAGCAGGUCAUAGUGAUCCGGUGGUUCUGAAUGGAAGGGCCAUCGCUCAACGGAUAAAAGGUACUCCGGGGAUAACAGGCUGAUACCGCCCAAGAGUUCAUAUCGACGGCGGUGUUUGGCACCUCGAUGUCGGCUCAUCACAUCCUGGGGCUGAAGUAGGUCCCAAGGGUAUGGCUGUUCGCCAUUUAAAGUGGUACGCGAGCUGGGUUUAGAACGUCGUGAGACAGUUCGGUCCCUAUCUGCCGUGGGCGCUGGAGAACUGAGGGGGGCUGCUCCUAGUACGAGAGGACCGGAGUGGACGCAUCACUGGUGUUCGGGUUGUCAUGCCAAUGGCACUGCCCGGUAGCUAAAUGCGGAAGAGAUAAGUGCUGAAAGCAUCUAAGCACGAAACUUGCCCCGAGAUGAGUUCUCCCUGACCCUUUAAGGGUCCUGAAGGAACGUUGAAGACGACGACGUUGAUAGGCCGGGUGUGUAAGCGCAGCGAUGCGUUGAGCUAACCGGUACUAAUGAACCGUGAGGCUUAACCUUACAACGCCGAAGGUGUUU